AUUAGAUACCCUGGUAGUCCACGCCCUAAACGAUGUCAACUAGUUGUUGGGGAUUCAUUUCCUUAGUAACGUAGCUAACGCGUGAAGUUGACCGCCUGGGGAGUACGGUCGCAAGAUUAAAACUCAAAGGAAUUGACGGGGACCCGCACAAGCGGUGGAUGAUGUGGAUUAAUUCGAUGCAACGCGAAAAACCUUACCUACCCUUGACAUGGUCGGAAUCCUGCUGAGAGGCGGGAGUGCUCGAAAGAGAACCGGCGCACAGGUGCUGCAUGGCUGUCGUCAGCUCGUGUCGUGAGAUGUUGGGUUAAGUCCCGCAACGAGCGCAACCCUUGUCCUUAGUUGCUACGCAAGAGCACUCUAAGGAGACUGCCGGUGACAAACCGGAGGAAGGUGGGGAUGACGUCAAGUCCUCAUGGCCCUUAUGGGUAGGGCUUCACACGUCAUACAAUGGUCGGAACAGAGGGUUGCCAACCCGCGAGGGGGAGCUAAUCCCAGAAAACCGAUCGUAGUCCGGAUUGCACUCUGCAACUCGAGUGCAUGAAGCUGGAAUCGCUAGUAAUCGCGGAUCAGCAUGCCGCGGUGAGUACGUUCCCGGGUCUUGUACACACCGCCCGUCACACCAUGGGAGUGGGUUUUACCAGAAGUGGCUAGUCUAACCGCAAGGAGGACGGUCACCACGGUAGGAUUCAUGACUGGGGUGAAGUCGUAACAAGGUAGCCG
rnacentral:rRNA from 1 species